CUGGGGAUAAUUUGCACCUUCACUUAAGAUGAACCUGCUGCUGAUUUUCCUGUUCAUGCUGGAGGCCCCUUCAGGUGUCCUCUCCCAAGUGCAGCUGAAGGAAAUGGGCCCGGGAGCAGUGAAACCCGGGGAGUCCCUGACACUCACUUGUACCAUCUCCGGAGACUCGGUUUCUAGCACCAGCGCCACCUGGGACUGGAUCCGGCAGCCCGCGGGGAAAGGGCUGGAAUGGGUAGGGCGCAUUUACUACAGACCGAGCCAGUGGCACACUAACUACGCCAGCUCUCUGCAGAGUCGAACGACCAUCGCACAAGACACUUCCAAGAACCAGUUCUCCCUGCAGCUCCGCUCGCUGACAGCUGCAGACACCGCCACCUAUUACUGUGCCAGAGGGUACACAGUGAUACAGAGCAAAGCAGGGCCUGGUACAAAAAGGGGAAGCAGAUUCUGAUUAGCGCAGGGAGACAAUCAGAAUGGAAAGAGAUGUUAUUCCCAUCAUAGAAAUGCAUCGUCUUUUGGUAGAUUGUCCUGACCAAAUCAGACUGAACAGUGAAAAAGUCUGACAUGCGCUGUAGAUGGAUGUAAGGUGAACCUGGACAUCAUGCCUUGGAUCCAAAAGGCUUCUGGGAAGAAGUGGGAGUGGACACUUUACUAUCAUACUUCCUGUACCAACAGCUACUGGCCUACAACCCUGAGGGGUGGGGGUUGGGGGCAGACUCAUAACCUCCAAAGACAGCUCCACCUCUAUUUACACAAGCAGCCUAAAGGACAUGCACACAGAAAAGCUCUCUCUCUCUCACACACACA